CAGGUCUUGACAUCCUUUGACCACUCUAGAGAUAGAGCUUCCCCUUCGGGGGCAAAGUGACAGGUGGUGCAUGGUUGUCGUCAGCUCGUGUCGUGAGAUGUUGGGUUAAGUCCCGCAACGAGCGCAACCCUUAUUGUUAGUUGCCAUCAUUUAGUUGGGCACUCUAGCGAGACUGCCGGUGACAAACCGGAGGAAGGUGGGGAUGACGUCAAAUCAUCAUGCCCCUUAUGACCUGGGCUACACACGUGCUACAAUGGGAAGUACAACGAGUUGCGAAGUCGCGAGGCUAAGCUAAUCUCUUAAAGCUUCUCUCAGUUCGGAUUGUAGGCUGCAACUCGCCUACAUGAAGCCGGAAUCGUUAGUAAUCGCGGAUCAGCACGCCGCGGUGAAUACGUUCCCGGGCCUUGUACACACCGCCCGUCACACCACGAGA
rnacentral:rRNA from 1 species